UGGGGGAUAUUGCACAAUGGGCGAAAGCCUGAUGCAGCGACGCCGCGUGGGGGAUGAAGGCUUUCGGGUUGUAAACCUCUUUCGCUAUCGAACAAGGCCCGCUUAGGGUGGGUUGAGGGUAGGUGGAGAAGAAGCGCCGGCUAACUACGUGCCAGCAGCCGCGGUAAUACGUAGGGCGCGAGCGUUGUCCGGAAUUAUUGGGCGUAAAGGGCUUGUAGGCGGCUUGUUGCGCCUGCUGUGAAAACGCGGGGCUUAACUUCGCGCGUGCAGUGGGUACGGGCAGGCUUGAGUGUGGUAGGGGUGACUGGAAUUCCAGGUGUAGCGGUGGAAUGCGCAGAUAUCUGGAGGAACACCGAUGGCGAAGGCAGGUCACUGGGCCAUUACUGACGCUGAGGAGCGAAAGCAUGGGUGGCGAACAGG
rnacentral:rRNA from 1 species